UACGGAGGGUGCAAGCGUUAUCCGGAUUCACUGGGUUUAAAGGGUGCGUAGGCGGGUAGGUAAGUCAGUGGUGAAAUCCUGGAGCUUAACUCCAGAACUGCCAUUGAUACUAUUUAUCUUGAAUAUUGUGGAGGUAAGCGGAAUAUGUCAUGUAGCGGUGAAAUGCUUAGAUAUGACAUAGAACACCCAUUGCGAAGGCAGCUUACUACGCAUAUAUUGACGCUGAGGCACGAAAGCGUGGGGAU
rnacentral:rRNA from 1 species